AACCGGAAUGAGCUCAGCGCUGAAUCUCCUGGUUGUAAUGAUCAGGCGAGGUGUAGCGUAUAGUGCGUGUUGUGCCAUUGAAUGGCUGAGCUUAAGUUCUCCUUGAUUGGAGUUCCUUAGAAGGUGCUAGGCCUGUUAAGCUCGGAUCAUCAUUUGAUGGUUGGCGCGUACUGUGAGUCGGGUUGUUUGGAAACACAGCCCUAAGUAGGUGGUAAACUCCACCUAAAGCUAAAUAUGACUACGAAUCCGAUAGCAAACAAGUACCGUGAGGGAACGUUGAAAAGAACUCUGAAGAGAGAGUUAAAUAGUACGUGAAACUGGUUAGGUCGAAGCGGAUAGAGCAGUCGAAAGAUGGUAGCAAUGAGUUGAUCGGGUGUUGGCUUCGGCUCAGCACAUCGGUUGAUGCACUUGUUAUUUGUUGCGCUGGCACGGUUGAUGAUGCCGUUGGAAGUGGUUGUAGAGGUGCUGUUCUUCGGAAGGGUAAACCUGCAAUCAUGAAAGACGUGUUGUUGUUAAUCGAUGUUGUUACAACAACGCAACCAGUGAGUGUGCUGUAAGUGUGAGUGUUGACUAUGGGUCUUCGCAUGCGAAGGCCUUAGCCAGUGCUUAUGCUUGUAGUAUUAUGAUCUGAGGCGUUUGUCAGUGUACAUUUGUACUGUCACCUAUCCGUCCCGUCUUGAAACACGGACCAAGGAGUUUAUCGUAUGUGCGAAGUAUUGGGUGAAUAAAACCUAAUGGCGUAAUGAAAGUAAAGGUUUUGCUUGCAAAACUGAUAUGUGAUCCGGAUGUCCUUCGGGGCUUCGGCGCAGCAUAGCCCCAUCUCGGUUGCUUGCAACGGGGUGGAGGUAGAGCAUAUGCGAUGAGACCCGAAAGAUGGUGAACUAUGCCCGGGCAGGAUGAAGCCGGAGGAAACUCUGGUGGAAGUCCGUAGCGGUUCUGACGUGCAAAUCGAUCGUCUGAACCUGGGUAUAGGGGCGAAAGGACUAAUCGAA
rnacentral:rRNA from 1 species